rnacentral:rRNA from 1 species
UACGAAGGGGGCUAGCGUUGCUCGGAAUCACUGGGCGUAAAGAGUGCGUAGGCGGUUUUCUAAGUUUGGUGUGAAAUCUCCCGGCUUAACUGGGAGGGUGCGCCGAAGACUGGAAGGCUUGAGUAUGGGAGAGGUAAGCGGAAUUCCUGGUGUAGCGGUGAAAUGCGUAGAUAUCAGGAGGAACACCUGCGGUGUAGACGGCUUACUGGACCAUCACUGACGCUGAGGCACGAAAGCGUGGGUAGCAAACAGG